AUUCAAUCUAUUCACAUCAGUGCUAUAGAAAGAAAGUUAGAAAGUUCUGUACGUUGACUCGUAUGUUUCCAUUGGGUUUGUACAGCAGCCCCUGUGAAUGAGACAUCAAUAACUCAAUAUUCCCUCUCUUCACCAAAGGGACGCCGGUUGCAUUCGAUAGUAAAUGUUCCAUUUCAUGUGCGUUGAGUGAUAUUGUAAUUGGUAUUUAUGUAUUUGGUGUAUGGUGGAGGGUGGGGGGUAUAUGUUUACGUGUUUGUAUGUCAGUAAGCCCACAUCUUCAUAUGUUUCUGAGUGUUUAUGUCAGUGUGUGUGUGUGUGUGUGUGUGUGUGUGAUAGAGAGAGAUAUGGCUGUAUGUGUGAUACAUGUGCAUGUAUUAGUGUUGGUGUAACUAUCUUUAGAUGUUAGGUGUCUGUGAAAGUUUUGUGUACCUGUUUGUGUAUGUGCACUGUAUGUGUGUGUUUGUAUGUGUCUGAUUAUAUGCGUGUGUGUUGGUAUGCAGCCUGUAUGUGUGUGUUUGUAUGUGUCUGAUUAUAUGCGUGUGUGUUGGUAUGCAGCCUGUAUGUGUGUGUUUGUAUGUGUCUGAUUCUGUGCGUGUGUGUUGGUAUGCAGCCUGUAUGUGUGUGUUUGUAGGUGUCUGAUUCUGUGCGUGUGUGUUGGUAUGAAGCCUGUAUGUGUGUGUUUGUAUGUGUCUGAUUCUGUGCAUGUGUGUUGGUAUGCAGCCUGUAUGUGUGUGUUUGUAUGUGUCUCAUUCUGUGCGUGUGUGUUGGUAUGAAGCCUGUAUGUGUGUGUUUGUAGGUGUCUGAUUCUGUGCGUGUGUGUUGGUAUGAAGCCUGUAUGUGUGUGUUUGUAUGUGUCUGACUCUGUGCGUGUGUGUUGGUAUGCAGCCUGUAUGUGUGUGUUUGUAUGUGUCUCAUUCUGUGUGUGUGUGUUGAAGCCUGUAUGUGUGUGUUUGUAUGUGUCUGAUUCUAUGCGUGUGUUUUGAAGCCUGUAUGUGUGUGUUUGUAUGUGUCUCAUUCUGUGCGUGUGUGUGUUGAAGCCUGUAUGUGUGUGUUUGUAUGUGUCUCAUUCUGUGUGUGUGUGUUGAAGCCUGUAUGUGUGUGUUUGUAUGUGUCUGACUCUGUGCGUGUGUGUUGGUAUGAAGCCCGUGAGCCUGAUGAGGGUGAGG
ensembl:lncRNA